UAGCCAUGCUGUGGGCAAUGAAGAAGUAGAUCCUUGAAUUGCUCCCACAAUUCAUAUAAUGGCUCAAAUUCAAGCUAUUUAAACUGACAUAUAUCACUUCUUAGUUG